UCUCCGUUGGUGAACCAGCGGAGGGAUCAUUACAGAGUUGCAAAACUCCCAAACCAUUGUGAACGUUACCUAUCCCGUUGCUUCGGCGGGCGGCCCGGGCCCCGCGCCCGGCGCCCCCCGGCCCCCCGUGGGCGCCCGCCGGAGGUAAACCAAACCCUUGAAUUGCAUGGCCUCUCUGAGUCCUCUGUACUGAAUAAGUCAAAACUUUCAACAACGGAUCUCUUGGCUCUC
rnacentral:misc_RNA from 1 species